GACAGAGGGGGCAAGCGUUGCUCGGAAUUACUGGGCGUAAAGCGCACGUAGGCGGAUAUUUAAGUCAGGGGUGAAAUCCCAGAGCUCAACUCUGGAACUGCCUUUGAUACUGGGUAUCUUGAGUAUGGAAGAGGUUAGUGGAAUUGCGAGUGUAGAGGUGAAAUUCGUAGAUAUUCGCAGGAACACCAGUGGCGAAGGCGGCUAACUGGUCCAUAACUGACGCUGAGGUGCGAAAGCGUGGGGAGCAAACAGG
rnacentral:rRNA from 1 species